rnacentral:rRNA from 1 species
UGCCAGCAGCCGCGGUAAUACGUAGGAUGCAAGCGUUGUCCGGAAUCACUGGGCGUAAAGGGUCCGUAGGCGGUUUGUUAAGUCUCCUGUGAAAUUUCAGGGCUCAACCCUGAAAGGUCGGGGGAUACUGGCAAACUUGAGAAUGUCAGAGGCAGGUGGAAUUCCCGGUGUAGUGGUGAAAUGCGUAGAUAUCGGGAGGAAUACCAGUGGCGAAAGCGGCCUGCUGGGACAUUUCUGACGCUGAGGGACGAAAGCGUGGGUAGCAAACCGGAUUAGAUA